rnacentral:rRNA from 1 species
UACAGAGGGUGCGAGCGUUAAUCGGAAUUACUGGGCGUAAAGCGCGCGUAGGCGGUUUUGUAAGUCAGAUGUGAAAGCCCCGGGCUCAACCUGGGAACUGCAUUUGAGACUGCAUUACUAGAGUAUGGGAGAGGGCAGUGGAAUUUCGGGUGUAGCGGUGAAAUGCGUAGAUAUCCGAAGGAACAUCAGUGGCGAAAGCGACUGCCUGGCCCAAUACUGACGCUCAUGUGCGAAAGCGUGGGGAGCAAACAGG